GAUUUCAACUGAAAAAGUCAUCAACAACAAAGUUGUAUAAUUCAUCAAGAUCUAUAACUUUUAUUUUGGUCAUUUCUUCAUCCGACAAAGUGAUAGUAACAUUGUUCACAAAAUUUGCAUCUAUCUCAUAUGUAAACUUUGUGAACAGUAUUAUUAUCAAUUUAUCAGAUGAAGAAAUAACCAAAAUAAAAGUUGUAUGUCUUGAUGAGCUCUGCAACUUUCAUGUUCAUGACUUUUUCAGCUGAAAUU
rnacentral:pre_miRNA from 1 species